rnacentral:lncRNA from 1 species
AACAAUCACUGCCUAGUGCGGUAGUGCCUUCACUUAGGGCUUUCACAGCUUCACUCCCAAGUCCCAAUUCCCAAAUCGAAGCUGCUCUCCGCCGCACUCUACGUCUCUCCUGUCUCCAUCUCAGUCCUCAUUCGACCGAAUUUCUCACUUCACCAGUUCAUCCCUGCCGUGCUGGUUCAUCGCUGCUGAGUGCCAAAGCCGAAGCACCAAUCACUGCUCAUCUCUGGCUCGCUUAGGUAAGUGCUCAUCUCUGGCAGUAAAAUGGCCAAGAUCGACUUUAAAAGUUAAGACCUUGGGGAAAAAUUGCACCUUUUACCCGUUAGAAAAAUUAAAAAGAAAAAAACUUGCUAAAAUGAAAAUUUUACCUCGUUGUCCGUGGAGAUUCUCUUAAUUAAUGGGUCUUGCCAACAUUCUGGAUGAAGUUAUGCACUUGUGCUUCUUUGAAACUAGUCUAUUCUUGCCUUGAAUAUUAUAUCGGCCUACAACAUUUUGCAUAAAGCUGAAUCUAUUUUUUAUGGUGAAGUUAAUACUGAGUCUAUUUUUUUUUACGCAUAAAGCUGAGAUUUUGCAAUUGACAUGAUUUUUUGCAUUAUUCUCCAAAUUAUUGCAGUCAUGUCUACUGGAAGUACUAACAAUCCCAAUCAAGUCAUGACAUCACCAGAUUGGUCAGCUGAAAGUCCUACUCCAGCUCCAGCUCCAGCUCCAGCUCCUAGCUCGGCAGAUUCAGGAGGAAAAGAGCCAAAGAAGCGAGGUCCAUACAAGAAAAGAUCUACAGUUUGGUCACACUUCAAAGAAGUUGUUGAGGGUAAGAUUAGAUAUGGUGAAUGCCUUUUUUGCGAGAAACGCAUAGCUGCUGAUGGUAGGACUAAUGGUACAACUGGUUUGAGAAAUCAUAUAACCAGAUGUCCUAAGAAUCCUAACAACAAAUACACUAAUCAAGCUACAUUGUGUUUUGGGGAAACUGAAACAGGGGAUGGGGAAACCAAGGCUGCACUUUUAUCAUGGAAAUUUGAUGCUGAGAUAAUUAGGAAGAAAAUUGCUUAUAUGGUGAUUGUCGAUGAGUUGCCUUUUAAACAUGUUGAAGGCAUUGGAUUUAAAGAAGUGAUGCGUGCUGCUUGUCCUCAAUUUAGAAUGCCUUCUAGAUGGACGGUCUCUAGGGAUUGUUAUCAACUUUAUUUGGAUGAAAGAACAAGAUUGAAAAAGUUGCUUAGGCACAAUUCUAGUAGAAUCUGUCUCACAACAGAUUCUUGGACUUCAAUUCAAAGAAUUAAUUAUAUGUGCCUUACAGCUCAUUUUAUUGAUAAUGACUGGAAUUUAAAAAAAAAGGUUAUAAGUUUUGUUCCAAUUUCUAGUCAUAAGGGUGUUGAUGUUGGGCAAGCUGUAGAGAAAUGUCUACUUGAGUGGGGAAUUGAUGAUAUUUUUACAGUUACUGUUGACAAUGCUAGCUCAAAUGACACUGCAGUUAAUUAUUUGAGGGGAAAAAUUGUUAAUUGGGGAAAAUCUGUUUUGGAGGGAAAGUGGCUUCAUGUUAGGUGUGUUGCUCAUAUAAUAAAUUUGGUGGUUAAUGAUGGUUUGAAAAAGCUUGGAAACUCUAUUGAUUCUAUUCGUGCAGCUGUGAGGUAUGUAAGACAAUCACCUGCUAGGUUGAAAAGGUUUAGAGAGUGUGCUACAGCUGAAAAAAUAGAAUCACAGAAAUUGUUGUGUUUGGAUUGUCCUACUAGGUGGAAUUCCACCUAUUUGAUGUUGGAUGUAGCUCAAUUAUAUGAGCGAGCUUUUGAUAGGUUCGCACUAGAGGAUCCUUACAUGAUUAAAGAACUUGAGUCUGUACCAACAUCAACUGAUUGGAGGAAAGCAAGAUAUCUUAUUCAGUUUUUAGAAAAUUUUUAUGAAUUGACUUUGAAGGUCUCUGGGUCUAAGUAUGUCACUUGCAAUACCUUUUUUCAAGACAUUAGUGGCAUGAAUGCAGUCUUGAACAACAUGAUGGAAAGUGAUAACCAAGAAAUGGCUCACAUGGCAUUCGGAAUGAAAGAAAAGUAUGAUAAGUAUUGGGGACAAAUAGAAAAAAUGAAUAUGCUUAUUUUUGUUGCCCCCAUUCUUGAUCCACGUAUUAAAUUUGAGUAUGUGGAGUUUGUACUUAUGAAAAUGUAUGGUCCGUAUGAUGGUGCAAACAUAGCUUCAUUUGCAAAAGAAGCUUUAGUGCAACUGUUUUCUGAGUACAAAAAACUCAGCUCCCCUCCUGAAGUCAAUGCCUCAGCUUCUUCGAGUAAAUCUGGAGCAGUAGAUAAAGGUGCAAUGGCUUGUGAUAUGGAUGCUGGAAAACGUAUCCAACACAAGUACAAAGAGGAGUUUAAAAAGAGAAAAAUAGAAGCUGGGGGCAAGGAUUCAAAAACUGAAUUGGAUAAAUAUCUUGGUGAGGACUGUGAAGAUGAAGAAGAUGACUUCAACAUUUUGACAUGGUGGAAGGUGAAUAGUCCUAGAUUCCCUGUUCUCUCUAAACUAGCUCGUGAUGUGUUGGCUGUGCCGGUAUCCACAGUUGCUUCCGAAGCUGCUUUUAGCACGGGUGGAAGAGUCCUUGAUCCAUUUAGGAGUUCUUUAACUCCUAAAAUAGUGCAAGCUCUGAUUUGCACUCAAGAUUGGCUUCGGCCAUCGGAUUCUAAAUUGAAUGUGGAAGAAGAAUUGGAGGAUCUUGAAGCUUUAGAAUCUGGUAACAUAUUUCUUAUCUAUUGUAUAUGCUGAUUAUUGUAAAAUUUCAUUUCUCUAUUGUUUUAAAGUAACUACUAUAUUUCAUUUUUAUGUUUUGUUGCAGGCUUGACUAAUGGAGGUGCUGAAACUUCAAUCACUCUUUAAAGAUAAUAGAAGUCUGGAACUAAAUUAUGUUGCAGUCAGUUUUCAGAUUUUGAUUUCUGAUUUCUGGUUUCUGCAUUCAGUUCAUUGUGACUUGUGAAAUGUGAACUUGAAAAAUGUCUGUUAGUGUUACUUUGAAUAACUUGUCGUUGUAUUGUCUAUUGGCAGUUGGUACUUGGUACUCCAGAUUUGUAUUUGAUGGAUUUUGGCAUUUGUAAUGUGUGUGUAAUAAUUUGGAUGUUGAUUUCCUUUGAAUUGGUGUUGUAGGCUUGUAGCCUGUAAGUUUGCAAUUAGAAUUAGUUUGCAAUUAGCCUCAUAGCCUGUAAAUUGUACGGAAGCAGCGUUGCAAACUUAAGCUGAUAACAGGCUUUUUUUUUUAUUUUUUAAAUAGAUGAAUUCGGUUUAACCGAAUUCAUUACCGUUUUCAAAUUUGAAAUCGGUUUCGGAUGAAUUCGGUUAUGCCCCAAUUCGGAAUUGAAAACGGUUUAAAAUUUUACAGGUAGAAUAACCGAAUUCACCGAAUUCAGUGCACCGAAUUACCGAAUAUGCACCGAAU